rnacentral:rRNA from 1 species
AUUGAACGCUGGCGGCAUGCCUCACACAUGCAAGUCGAACGGUAACAGGUCUUCGGAUGCUGACGAGUGGCGAACGGGUGAGUAAUACAUCGGAACGUGCCCGAUCGUGGGGGAUAACUACUCGAAAGAGUAGCUAAUACCGCAUACGAUCUACGGAUGAAAGCGGGGGAUCUUCGGACCUCGUGCGGACGGAGCGGCCGAUGGCAGAUUAGGUAGUUGGUGGGAUAAAAGCUUACCAAGCCGACGAUCUGUAGCUGGUCUGAGAGGACGACCAGCCACACUGGGACUGAGACACGGCCCAGACUACUACGGGAGGCAGCAGUGGGGAAUUUUGGACAAUGGGCGAAAGCCUGAUCCAGCAAUGCCGCGUGCAGGAUGAAGGCCUUCGGGUUGUAAACUGCUUUUGUACGGAACGAAAAGACUCCUUCUAAUACAGGGGGUCCAUGACGGUACCGUAAGAAUAAGCACCGGCUAACUACGUGCCAGCCGCCGCCGUAACAC